GACGUAGGGCGCGAGCGUUGUCCGGAUUAUUGGGCGUAAAGAGCUCGUAGGCGGCUUGUCGCGUCGUUCGUGAAAACCUGCAGCUCAACUGCAGGCUUGCGGUCGAUACGGGCGAGGCGUAGAGUUCGGCAGGGGGAGACUGGAAUUCCUGGUGUAGCGGUGAAAUGCGCAGAUAUCAGGAGGAACACCGGUGGCGAAGGCGGGUCUCUGGGCCGGAUACGUGA
rnacentral:rRNA from 1 species